AGAGCGAACGCUGGCGGCAGGCCUAACACAUGCAAGUCGAGCGCCCGUAGCAAUACGGGAGCGGCAGACGGGAUAGUAACACGUGGGAACGCGCCCUUCGGUUCGGAAUAACUCAGGGAAACUUGAGCUAAUACCGGAUACGCCCUUACGGGGAAAGAUUUAUUGCCGAAGGAACGGCCCGCGUCCGAUUAGCUAGUUGGUGAGGUAAUGGCUCACCAAGGCGACGAUCGGUAGCUGGUCUGAGAGGAUGACCAGCAUCACUGGGACUGAGACACGGCCCAGACUCCUACGGGAGGCAGCAGUGGGGAAUAUUGGACAAUGGGCGCAAGCCUGAUCCAGCCAUGCCGCGUGGAUGAUGAAGGCCUUAGGGUUGUAAAGUCCUUUUAACGGGGAAGAUAAUGACGGUACCCGUAGAAUAAGCCCCGGACUAACUUCGCGCCAGCAGCCGC
rnacentral:rRNA from 1 species